rnacentral:tRNA from 1 species
CAAAAAAUAGUUUAAUGCAAGAAUCUUGGCUUUGGGAGCCAUGGGUAGGAGUUUGAUUCUCCUUUUUUUGA